GGACCUGUGGCGCAGCGGUAUGUUUCCACCUUUCAAAGGUCUUCAAUUCAAUUACUAAUAAUUUCCCAGGUAGCGCGUGAGAUUCCAGACCUCAAGGUCAUCCGUUCGAUCCGGGUCGGGUUCA
rnacentral:tRNA from 1 species